rnacentral:tRNA from 1 species
AGGGGCAUGGUGCAAUGGCAGCACACCAGUCUUUGGAACUGUUGAUCAUGGUUCGAAUCCGUGUGCCCCUGCCA